rnacentral:rRNA from 1 species
GACGUAGGGCGCGAGCGUUGUCCGGAUUUAUUGGGCGUAAAGAGCUCGUAGGCGGCCUGUUGCGUCCGCUGUGAAAGCCCGGGGCUUAACCCCGGGUCGGCAGUGGAUACGGGCAGGCUAGAGGUAGGUAGGGGAGAAUGGAAUUCCCGGUGUAGCGGUGAAAUGCGCAGAUAUCGGGAGGAACACCGGUGGCGAAGGCGGUUCUCUGGGCCUUACCUGACGCUGAGGAGCGAAAGCGUGGGGAGCGAACAGG